GAUGAACGCUGGCGGCGUGCCUAAUACAUGCAAGUCGAGCGAACAGACGAGGAGCUUGCUCCUCUGACGUUAGCGGCGGACGGGUGAGUAACACGUGGAUAACCUACCUAUAAGACUGGGAUAAAUUCGGGAAACCGGAGCUAAUACCGGAUAAUAUAUUGAACCGCAUGGUUCAAUAGUGAAAGACGGUUUUGCUGUCACUUAUAGAUGGAUCCGCGCCGCAUUAGCUAGUUGGUAAGGUAACGGCUUACCAAGGCAACGAUGCGUAGCCGACCUGAGAGGGUGAUAGGCCACACUGGAACUGAGACGCGGUCCAGACUCCUACGGGAGGCAGCAGUAGGGAAUCUUCCGCCAUGGGCGAAAGCCUGACGGAGCAACGCCGCGUGAGUGAUGAAGGUCUUCGGAUCGUAAAACUCUGUUAUUAGGGAAGAACAAAUGUGUAAGUAACUAUGCACGUCUUGACGGUACCUAAUCAGAAAGCCACGGCUAACUACGUG
rnacentral:rRNA from 1 species